GGACAAACUUGGCCUCCACAUCCCACGGCUCUCAGUCCCAGACUGCUCACUUUCGCUCUGCCCUGCUCCCCAUCCGUCUUCUCCAACCAAGCCCGGAGCAGGAGGAGCUCAGGAAAUGCGUGGAGGACGAAUGAAUGAAGAUGGCACAGACUCUGGAGCCCAGAAAGUCACCACCGCUCGCCCAGGACUUCUAGUGGGUAGGCAUCAAACUGCAAGUGCGAGAUUCUCUUUCUCAGUGAAGUGAAUUCAACGGUGACCAUGAGUCCUAAAGGCCAGGGGUACGGCGACAGCGACUUGGCAGUGGCAGGGCCACCAUCUUCCGUGUGGUCAUGGACGGAGAAGCUGAGGGAGGCGCGCCCGAUGAGGGGUGGGGGCAGACGGGCCUGUAGCCAGGCUCCUGACUGCUGCCUGCUCCUGACUCUUGGCUGUGGAUUUCUGAAAAUUGUC
rnacentral:lncRNA from 1 species